rnacentral:rRNA from 1 species
UACGUAGGGGGCAAGCGUUGUCCGGAUUUAUUGGGCGUAAAGAGCGUGUAGGCGGUUAGGUAGGUCCGUUGUGAAAACUCGAGGCUCAACCUCGAGACGUCGAUGGAAACCAUCUAGCUAGAGUCCGGAAGAGGAGAGUGGAAUUCCUGGUGUAGCGGUGAAAUGCGCAGAUAUCAGGAAGAACACCCGUGGCGAAGGCGGCUCUCUGGUACGUGACUGACGCUGAGACGCGAAAGCGUGGGGAGCGAACAGG